GUACUUCUCUGGCAGGGAGAUACCAGGUUCAUGAAGGUGGUUUUUCCCGGGCGAGGCUUAUCCAUUGCACUCCAGAGGAGCUGACCCAGGAUUUUCCCAAAUGUGGGAAACUGGACUGCAUAAUUUGUGGUAGUGGGGGACUGAGCUCGCCUUCUCCAG